rnacentral:rRNA from 1 species
GAUGAACGCUGGCGGCGUGCCUAAUACAUGCAAGUCGAGCGAACGGACGAGAAGCUUGCUUCUCUGAUGUUAGCGGCGGACGGGUGAGUAACACGUGGAUAACCUACCUAUAAGACUGGGAUAACUUCGGGAAACCGGAGCUAAUACCGGAUGAUAUUUUGAACCGCAUGGUUCAAAAGUGAAAGACGGUCUUGCUGUCACUUAUAGAUGGAUCCGCGCUGCAUUAGCUAGUUGGUAAGGUAACGGCUUACCAAGGCAACGAUGCAUAGCCGACCUGAGAGGGUGAUCGGCCACCCUGGAACUGAGACACGGUCCAGACUCCUACGGGAGGCAGCGUAGGGAAUCUUCCGCAAUGGGCGAAAGCCUGACGGAGCAACGCCGCGUGAGUGAUGAAGGUCUUCGGAUCGUAAAACUCUGUUAUUAGGGAAGAACAUAUGUGUAAGUAACUGUGCACAUCUUGACGGUACCUAAUCAGAAAGCCACGGCUAACUACGUG